UACGGAGGGUGCGAGCGUUAAUCGGAAUUACUGGGCGUAAAGCGCGCGUAGGCGGCUUUGCAAGUCGGGUGUGAAAUCCCCAGGCUUAACCUGGGAACUGCAUUCGAGACUGCAUUGCUAGAGUAUGGGAGAGGGAAGUGGAAUUUCCGGUGUAGCGGUGAGAUGCGUAGAUAUCUGGAGGAACACCAGUGGCGAAGGCGGCAUCCUGGCCAUGUACUGACGCUCAGGGGCGAAAGCGUGGGGAGCAAACGGG
rnacentral:rRNA from 1 species